GCAGUAUUGUGACUGUGCAAAGGUAGCAUAAUCAUUAGUCUUUUAAUUGAAGGCUGGUAUGAAUGGUUGGACGAAGUAAAUUCUGUCUUAUGCAUUAAUUUAAAUUGAAAUUAGAUUUUGAGUAAAAAGACUUAAAUGAAGUUAAAGGACGAGAAG
rnacentral:rRNA from 1 species